rnacentral:lncRNA from 1 species
GUAUUGUAAUUUGGCAAUUGAGGCAGAAAAUUAUUAUUCACACGAUGCAUUGGUCGUGUUUCACACGUCCAAGAGGCAGGUCAAAAGUAGUGUGUAAUUGACACACUUUUAAAAGUCUUGGUGUGUAAAAUAACACCCAUGAUCAACGGGUGUGUAACAUGUAUUUGGGUGUAAGUUUGAAAGGUAAAAUAGACUCAAAACAUCAAAAGAAAAAUCUCCUUGAGCAACUCCUGAAUGGAUGUCCUGGGGUGUAUGUCAUGCUAAAACUCCGAUAAGUAUACCCAUACCUGUAUGAGAAAAUUAAGACCAAAUAAAGUUAAAGACAUAUAACGUUAUGUGAGACAAUAACCCUUCUAGUUUGACACAUGCAAGACAUGAUUGUAGCUGUUUGUCUAAAAUUAACCUAUGUGGCUAAAAGUGUCUAAAAAUGCAAGAUUUGACUAUGACCCCGCAAGCCAAGAACCUAAGAUAACUAGGGAAACUGGAUCCUAUGAAGGUUGCCUACGUAUCACACCCCGAAAGAUGAGAAUCAGGUAUGCGUAGUUCGGGCAGAUUGGAUACGGGCAAGAAAUAAAAAUAACAACUAAUUUAGAGAAAAUAUGUAUUUUGAUUUUUUUUUUUUUGAAAAAUGAUGAAACAUGUAAAAUAUUUUUGGAUUUUUUUUUUUUUGGAAAAUGAUGAAAAAGUGCAAAAUCUUUUUGAAUUGAAUUUUCAAGUUCUUUUUUUCCUUAACAAAAAUGUGACAGAAAACAUAAUUGGGCCCCACUCGCUUUAUCUUCACAUUUCACCCUCUUUUUUAUUUUUUUAUUUUUAAUUUGCCCUCAACUAUCAUUAGCCCGCCAAAAUGACCCUUUUACCCUUGAAUAAAUGCAACAUGUAGCACAUAGGAUAUAUCAAGUUGGUCUUUUAUUUUGGGGUAUACCUGUCCUAGACGGAUCAAUCCCCUGUGUUGAGUCCCCUAAGUCAAAUGCACGUGAUGCAAUAAAUGUUCCUACUAGAGAUCCAGCAUGAGGUUUUAUUAUACUAGGUUUAAAACCUGGGUUUAUUAUUCUAGACCCAGCUUACCCGAGUUGAUAACUCGAGUCGGGAGGGGGGGGGGGAGCGUACCGGGAAUACAGAAGCUUCACCGGCUUUGUAACUUGUCCGAAUCUCAUUCUAUAAUUUGGGAUAAGACUCUAACAAAAAAAAAAAGUUACACGAAGUGCACACUUCCUAGAUGAUUAGAAGACUCAGAGAGAAGAAGGGUUUCGUAGCAGUUUAUAUACAAUUCACGCAAUAUCAAAGUGGUAAAAAGUGGCAUUUAGCACAUUAGGUUCAAACAAGUAGAAAAAUCAGAUAAUAAAUAAAGCCAAUUAAAACAGCUAUUCUAAGCUCGAAUUCUUAAACCCUGAACCAAAGUUCUGGAUUUGGGUCCCCAGCAGGGUCACAAGAGCUGUCACACCUCCUUUUUUACUACCCCGGAAAGGGUAAUAUAACGGAGUUUUUCCAAUUUAAGUGACAAUCGAAAUGAGAUUAUUUAUAUAUUUGGUGUCUCCACUUGGGAUAAUUAAUGGUGUCCCAAAUCAUCGUUUUAAAAUCCCAAAUCAAGAAAAGAUUGACUCUGUUUUAUAGUCCGCAAACACAAAAUUCUGGAUAGGAAUUCAGUUGAACUAUUAUAAUUAGCCUAUUAUCAGAUUUUAAUACACUUUUAAGCCACAAUGCAUUUUUAACUUUAAAACCGUUUUUUAUUUAUUUAAGAAAUUGUUUCAAUGUUAUUUAAAACACAUUGCAAGUCACGUUACAUGAAAUACACCCGUGCUUCAAGAUACGUUCAAUUUAAUCUUGUUGAAAAUUAGAAUUGAGUCACAUAAAUGCACACCCCAAUUUUAAUAAUAGCCAUGGUAAUUAAAUAAUUAACGCGUCUAAAGCGAACUACGAGAUUUUUCAAUUUUCCGAACUUCUCGUUUCAGCCGCAUUAGCUCGACACAUAUCUAUCUAUCUCACAACUAUACACAACAGAAUCCUCAAGCCCUAAUUCCAUGGAAUAGCACCCGUUCAUAUUUUAUUAAACAAGAUUAAGCAACGGAAAAAUUCAACGAGAAUCCAACUUAAACGAAGAGUAGCUAAAACUAACUUAAAUUACAUGUAUUCAAGUGUACUUUUGGUAUUCAAACAGCCAAAAUUGUGUUUUGAACUUGAUUAUAAUAACUAAUGCACAUUUGUUUUUAUUGUUGUCACGUGCAUAUGAAACUAAUAAUUUGUUGACUACUUCUGUUAUGCAAAUGAUGUGUGUAACUAAAAAUUCAUAAAUAUAUGAAAAAAAUGAAACAUUGAGAAGUAUAAUGGUCCAUGAGGGUUAUUAGUACUUUAGUGUCAUGUGUAUUGUAUUUAUCAAUUUAGAAAACAGCUUAUGUAAAGGGAUUGUAUGUUACUGGACAUAUACGAUGCAGAUAGCCAAGACAAAAAUGGAAGAACUAACCUUUUAUUGUUGAAAUUCUGGAACAAGUACAAUGAAAAUAAAAGCUAUGAAAUAGCAAAACUUUCAGUUGAGCCACAGACUAGGCAUCUGGACAGGAAUCGCAACCUCGAACAAACCCGUCAACCAAAGAACACGCUGGAAAACUUGACCUCGACGACUCGAGCGGUAAUCUCACUGUAAUUGAACUCCAUUUGAAAACCAAAUGUUCGAAAUCGAUAGGAGGAAGCACAAGAUGCAAGAUAUACUUUCUGAUUUUCUGAGAUUUCAAACCAACUUAAAAGUCUAAACAAAACUUAGAUUUUAUCUCCAAAUGCCCUUUUUGUUAUAUAUUUUUGCUUUGUUCUGUCCAUUUUCUGUCCCUUGUAUGUGUAUGUGUGUUUGCGGAUUUCAACGGUGGUCGCCGGAUUUCUCGCUAAAUCUAUCACCAACAAGCCUCAAAGGAGACGCGAAAUGGGUUAGCGAUCGCUCUCAAACGAAAGAGAGAAGGCACUGAUGGCUAGAAGAGGGUGCAUAAUAUUUGAUUUUCACGACAUAGGAACGAGAUAUGGGUGUGGUAUGUUUUUGUUUAGAAGAAAAGAGUUGGUGUGUUGAGGGAGAUGAAACCCAUGGAAAGGGGUCAUUUAGAGAAGACAAAAUCGGGGUGGGGGUCCUUGUUUAGUCUUUGCGGCGCUUCUGAUUUUUCG